AACCUUCCCUUCUUCACCGCCCCGACUUCCCUCAGGGGGUUCAUUGGGAGGGAGCAGCCGAGCUAUGUUUCCUCGAGACUGGAACGCUCAGCUGUGGAAGGGAAGACGUUGUAAGAAGCCACGAUUCCCUUCACUUAAUUUUGUCAACUCUAAGUUCGCUGCCAUUUGCAGCCUUUUUGUAGAAGUUGAACAGUCAGAUCCCAAGGAAUCCUGCAGGAGAGAAGAAUAUAAGUACAGAGAGAAGAGGAUUCAGAACAAAAUAGUGGUCAUGGACACUGAUACUCUGGAAGUCAUCAAAUGAGUGGGCCCUGAUUGCCAGCUUGGAAAGAAUGGGCUUUAAAAUGUAUUCUCACAUAUUGAUGUGGAGCAAUGUCUUUGUUCAAGUCUGUUAACACCUAUCAAAUUUUGUAGUAAAACAUUAGAAUGUAGAAAAUUCAGUACGUAAUAUAUAGAAGUAUAUAUCUGUCUAGAUCUGAUACAGAAGAUAGGGAGAAAAAAUCUGAAAGAAGCACAUUUUUGUGACCAAACUCUGAGGAGAGAAUUAAAAAAAAAAUCUUGUCACAUGCAUAUUUAUCCUUUUUCCUGAGAAGAGAAAACUUACAUAAUUAUUCCACCUGAACAAGCAUUUGUCUUUCUGUCUGCCUGGCACAAUUCCUCCAGGUAGUUUUAGAACUUGUGACCAAUUUCAACCAAAUGUAACAGAAGGUUACAAGUUAUUACAUUACAGCAAGUUACAUGAAAACAGGUGGCAAUGCAGAGCAGGAUUUUCAGUGGGAGGGAAACUCUAGUGUGCAUGCAGUUCAUAUGGGUAGUCUAACCUACCGGGAAAGUUGAGUCAGAACUCUCUUGCUUAUGGAAAUAUUUGUUAUAAUCUUAUUUGGAUAGUUAUUGAAAUCUGUAAAUGUGUUUAUUCUGCAUACUUCUGGGAAAACUACAACCUAUCUAUAGAAAAUUAUUUCUUUCCCUAUUCUUUUACAAACCAGACUCAAAGCCUUUUCAAGAUACUGAUGCUCUUGAUGCAGGAUAUACUAAAUGGAUUUCAUAACAAAAGCAUUCAGUUUAUUUGCUGAAUGUCAUUAGUCACCUUGUCUCUCAGCUGCUCAUAGUGAUGGUAGCUAACAACUUCUCAGCAAAGAGAACAUGGAAAAUGUGCUUUCUGAGAGUAAUGCAAAUGACCAAAGAGAGAGUAUAUAAGAACCCUAAAUACAGAUUUAUGCCCUGCAUCCCUGGAAAUUAGCCACAAUUAUGGAUAAAGAGAUUUAAAAAUGGUGUUGUUAGUGUUGCCGUACAUAUAUUACUGUGACAGCAAAAAACCUCCCCACCAUAUUUAACACUACCACAUAAAUGCAGGCAAUAUUUUCUGUUAUCACAGGAUAUAUUAAACCUGUGAACAUAACUGGAA